GUUAGUUGCCAUCAUUCAGUUGGGCACUCUAGCGAGACUGCCGGUAAUAAACCGGAGGAAGGUGGGAGUGACGUCAAUCAUCAUGCCCUUAUGACCUGGGCUACACACGUGCUACAAUGGUUGGUACAACGAGUUGCGAGUCGGUGACGGCGAGCUAAUCUCUUAAAGCCAAUCUCAGUUCGGAUUGUAGGCUGCAACUCGCCUACAUGAAGUCGGAAUCGCUAGUAAUCGCGGAUCAGCACGCCGCGGUGAAUACGUUCCCGGGCCUU
rnacentral:rRNA from 1 species